rfam:Physcomitrella patens subsp. patens PHYPAscaffold_319 genomic scaffold, whole genome shotgun sequence.
UAAGAGGCUUUUAUAAAAGCCAUAUUUAAAUAUCUUGAAUAAUUAU